CAGAUAGUAGUUUAAGUAAAACUCUGACCUUGGGUGUCAAAAAUCACUUCGGUGUUAUCUGA
rnacentral:tRNA from 1 species